GAUGAACGCUGGCGGCGUGCCUAAUACAUGCAAGUCGAGCGAACAGACGAGGAACUUGCUCCUCUGACGUUAGCGGCGGACGGGUGAGUAACACGUGGAUAACCUACCUAUAAGACUGGGAUAACUUCGGGAAACCGGAGCUAAUACCGGAUAAUAUAUUGAACCGCAUGGUUCAAUAGUGAAAGACGGUUUUGCUGUCACUUAUAGAUGGAUCCGCGCCGCAUUAGCUAGUUGGUAAGGUAACGGCUUACCAAGGCAACGAUGCGUAGCCGAACUGAGAGGGUGAUCGGCCACACUGGAACUUAGACACGGUCCAGACUCCUACGGGAGGCAGCAGUAGGGAAUCUUCCGCAAUGGGCGAAAGCCUGACGGAGCAACGCCGCGUGAGUGAUGAAGGUCUUCGGAUCGUAAAACUCUGUUAUUAGGGAAGAAUCAAUGUGUAAGUAACUAUGCACGUCUUGACGGUACCUAAUCAGAAAGCCACGGCUAACUACGUG
rnacentral:rRNA from 1 species